AAACACUCUUACUAAUCACAGACACACACACACACACACACCAAUCUCAGAUAUGAGAAAUAGGCCCCGCACCGACACUACCUCUCCUAUCAAACACGUAAUUAAAACUAUUACGGUUCUAGCCAUUCUGGAUAGCAACAGUAAAAUUGUUUUUAUUAACGUAUACAUAAGUAAGCGAAUGUACACACAUGUAAAUACAUUAUUGUAUAAAAAUUGCAAAAUAAAUAUGUCACUAUACACGUGUACACACACACAAUCGCAUUAUUCUCAGCUGUUACCACCCCAUUCUGUACCAGACAGUUUCCCAUCCCCUUCUAUUAACCUUAUUUUUCAACCAGUCUGUUUAACAAGUCCCUUCCUUUUUACAUACGACACGCAAGGGGGGAAAGAUACAUCCUUACAUAUAUCAAGCUCACCGCAUGAUCCCCACUAUCUUUCUCCAUCGCUGUUUUCGUCUCACCACCAAAUAUUACUACCCUACAACUAAAACUAUAACAGUCUCUACUUCAUUCACUCCAUUUUUUUUUCUUUCUUCUUCGUUAUUUAUUUAUUUUUCACCCGAACAAACUCCCGCUUCCCCCAAGUUCAGUCGGUCGGUCGGGCUUUUGGUGAGUCCUAGACUACGUGAGAGGAUACAUAUCGAUUGACCCCAUUAUGACUCACGGUACAAAUAUACAGACAGUCACAGUCGCCACCACUGCUCUAUUCAACCUACAGACAGACAUAAAACUGUAAUAAAUAUAAUAAGACCAGGUGCGUGAGUGCGUGCUUGUACUAUUUACAUAGUUUUACAGAUAACAUGCGACAGCUUGUCUGCUCUUAAUAUUGCUAAAGACAGACAUAUAUAUUAUAUAUAUAUAAGUGCGGUAUUAUUAAUAUCGCAUUACCUAACCCAAAUCUCCGAACUCACGUUUUACUCGUUUAUUUAUAAGUUUAAAGAAACAUGGCAAAAAAACUAAUAAACGUUAUCCAAACUUUAUAAGAAAAUAUAAUCAACGAUAAUUUUUGUGUAAAACUUAAAAACAACAGCUAGAUUAGAGCAUUAGGAAUGUAUGUGAAAUCUGUUUCAAAGAGGAAACCAAUAUUAAAAGAAAUCAUUUUGAUUGACAAACCAUUAUAGCAAAAGAAAAAGAAUUAAAAUGGUUUAAUGUAAAAAAGACAAAUCGAGACGGCCAAAGUGUACGUGGUAGAUUAAAAGACAAAAUGUAUAUAAUUUUGUGUUUUAAUCGAAACAACUUUUCAGCGGAAAAGGAUGAGAGGAAUCGAGUCAAGCCAAUAAAUUAACAACAUUCAUCGAUCCUGGACAGAAUGAAAGGUAUGAAGCAACCAAAGAGAUUUGAACUGAUACCAAAGUUUCAAUAACGGCUGGCGCAGACUCCGGCAAAUAUUACAGCCGACAUAAAGAAUAAAUUUAUUUAUGUCAGACACAAAACAGCUCGGUUUUAAGCUGAAGCAAGAUGAUACGACUUUCAUGCUUUCUUCUAGGGACGUAAGUGAAGUAAAUAAAAUGAAAUGAAUUGAAAUGAGAAAAAUCAGGAUUGGAAAUCGUGUCGCACACACUCACCUGGUUACAAAGAAUGGUAAUAGAAGAGGAAAAAAAAAAUGCGGUCAAAAUGUAAAAAAGAUAGCCGCCGUGAAAGUGAAAUAAUUUUCGAUAUCUUUUUAGCCAUCGUUAUAUAGCAGAGAGAGAAACUAUACACUGAAACAAAAGUGGAAAUAAGUGAUUUUUCUGUUCUGCCCGUCACUGAGCCAAUUUGUAUGACAACCACUUGUAAUGUCAGCAACAGCUAUUAUUGUAGGGCUAAACGUCUUUAGUUCAACAGCGGAUGAUCAGGUGAUGAAUAGCCGAAAUACUUCGGUGUCUAUUUCGGGAAGUAAGUUAUGGAAUUACGACAGAGUUGGAAAAUUGCAUGAACGAAAAACCAAAACAGUAAACCCACACACCUGAAACUGAUCUUCCUAUCAAAUAAUUUAAGUAUCUGAGCUCAACACCAACUGAAUCCAACUUUACUUAACAUCCUUCUGUGAUGACCUAAACAGUAAGUACGGAUUACAAAUAUCAGAAGGUUCUACACUUAACUAAGCAAUUCAUACAAGAAAACGGCUGGAAAAUUAUAAUUCCUGUAUAAUAAACAUACUCUAGCUACACAA